UGAACGCUGGCGGCAGGCUUAACACAUGCAAGUCGAGCGGUAGCAUUUCUAGCUUGCUAGAAGAUGACGAGCGGCGGACGGGUGAGUAACGCGUAGGAAUCUGCCGAGUAGUGGGGGAUAGCCCAGAGAAAUUUGGAUUAAUACCGCAUACGCCCUACGGGGGAAAGGAGGGGAUCUUCGGACCUUUCGCUAUUCGAUGAGCCUGCGUGAGAUUAGCUUGUUGGUGAGGUAAAGGCUCACCAAGGCGACGAUCUCUAGCUGGUCUGAGAGGAUGAUCAGCCACACUGGGACUGAGACACGGCCCAGACUCCUACGGGAGGCAGCAGUGGGGAAUAUUGCACAAUGGGGGAAACCCUGAUGCAGCCAUGCCGCGUGUGUGAAGAAGGCCUUCGGGUUGUAAAGCACUUUCAGCAGUGAGGAAAGGGUGUAGAUUAAUACUCUGCAUCUGUGACGUUAACUGCAGAAGAAGGACCGGCUAACUCC
rnacentral:rRNA from 1 species